UUUUUUUUUUUUUUUUUUAUACCAAAAUUACAUGCAGAACACACCAUUUGACACUACAAAAAAAUGUAUGCGAAAAACUCAUACGACGAAAACAAUGAGAAUGACGAAAAUAAUCAGAUAAACUUAGAAAAUUACAAAAAUAUUUUACAUAACAAAAAAAAGGAUUUAGGUUUAUUAGGUGCUGAUGUGUUUGGCAAAAAAGAAACAAAACCAACGACGACUAAUGAAACAGGUGGCAGUUUCGAAAACAAUACUAGUUCUACAGUUUCUGGUGAAAAAGUUCUUGCAAAUGAAAAAGAAAAAGAAGAAGAAGAAGAAGAAGAAGAAGAAGGUGAUGAUGAUGAAAGUUAUAAAAUAGAUGAAGACGAAGAAGAGGAUGAUAGUGAUGAUGAUGAUGAUGAUGAAGAGGACUAUGAAUAUGACGAUGAACUGAGUCUAAUAAAUUUCAAUUCUUAUAAUAAUUAUUAUUAUGAAAAUGUUAAGGAUGAAUAUGCCGCCAGUGUUAAUGGUAAUGCAGAAAAUGAUUGUAACAUUAACAUUAAGAAUAUUAUGAAAAAACAAAAUAAUAUAUUAUUAGACAGGAAAGAGGUAAACGAAAAAAGUGAAACAACAAAAAUAUUAAAUUUAUUAAAAAAUAAACAACAUAUAAAUGAAGAUAUAAUAUAUAGUAAUAAUUUUCUGCAAAAAAAUGAAAAAACAUAUGAAACGCAUAGUGAUGAAGGCGGGUAUGAUAGCGAAUUAUUAAAAAAGUACAAAUUAAGAAAAGAACAAAGUAAAGCUUCUCAACAAAAAGAAUCUUGUCUACAAAAUGAAACGUAUAAUACAACUACUACUAGUGAAGUAGAUGCAAAGUCAUGUUAUAGUUACAAAAGUGAAAAAACAAAUUUUUAUCAAAAUAGAAACAUGAAUGAUGAACAGGAAAAUCUAAACGAAAUAGAUGAAGAAGUUAAAAAAGACAUUAAUGAUUUUAAAAAAUAUAACGAAGAUGUAAAUCAAGACAUUUUAGAUCGAAUCGAAGAAAUUUAUAACAAAGAUACUAGAUUUCCUGAUUUGAAAUCUAUAAAUAAUAAAAAUAAUAAAGUAUGUAUUAAUGAUUUAAACUUAAGUAUUAUAAGUGAUUAUUUAAAUAUUGAUAUAUCUGUGUUUAGUAAAAAAACAACAGUUUUAUUAUUAGGUAAUACAAAUAGUGGUAAAAGUUCUUUUAUUAAUUGGUUUAAUGAAUGUUAUGUUCAAAACACAAAUAGUAUAGGAAAAAAAAAUAAAAUAACUUAUGUUGAUGUUAAGUGUAAUUUCAAAUUUAAUUUUAGUAAAUUAGAAAAU
rnacentral:lncRNA from 1 species